UACGUAGGGUGCGAGCGUUAAUCGGAAUUACUGGGCGUAAAGCGUGCGCAGGCGGUUAUUUAAGUCAGGUGUGAAAGCCCUGGGCUUAACCUAGGAAUUGCGCUUGAGACUGGAUAGCUUGGAGUGCGGCAGAGGGAGGUGGAAUUCCACGUGUAGCAGUGAAAUGCGUAGAGAUGCGGAGGAACACCGAUGGCGAAGGCAGCCCCCUGGGCUGACACUGACGCUCAGGCACGAAAGCGUGGGGAGCAAACAGG
rnacentral:rRNA from 1 species